GGCAUGGUGGCUUAGUGGUUAGCAUGUCUGCCUCGUACUUCUGAAGUUGGGGGUUUGAUUCCCGCCUCUGCCC